UUGUCAGCUCCCUUAAGGUCUGGUGCACGAUCCCAGCGCAGCCAAAUCUGUUUGCUUUGCAGUUGUGAUCGUUGUUGCCAUUUGGUUUCACCAACCACACCUUGGUUAAAAGCAUGGAUCAGUUCAACCAGUUCGCAUCCGACACAGCAAAGGCAGCGAAUGAGAAAGGGAAACAAGCGGAGGGAGCAGCGAAGCAGACCACUGGCCAGGUGCAGCAGGUCAUCGAGCAGGCUAUUGAUCAGGGUGCUGACGCUUUGAAAAAAGCAGGGACCAAUGUGGUUAACAAUGCGGCCAAAAGCGUACCUGGUUUCGGAAAGUGAUCUGUCAUCUCCAACUGGAAGUUCAUCUUUGCAGUUUAUCUGCAAGGCUCAUGUUUGGAAAGAAAUUUGUCCCUUUAACUGAAUAAAAUGUCUCGUUAAAAUAA